rnacentral:lncRNA from 1 species
AGUGGGAAAAUGAGUUGGUACCCUCAAUUGCUCAUGGAGCUGAAUUGAGGCGUGAUUUGAAUUUCGCGGACGAAAUUCUUUUAAGGGGUGGAGAAUGUAACAUACCAGAUUUUGGUAUAAAAAUAAAAAUAAAUAAAAAUAGUGUGAGAUACUAUUUUUAUUAGAUUUAGAGGAGUAAAACAUAAGUCAGAAGUGACUUGUGCAGAAAUCGGAAUGAAAACAGAAGAUCUAGAAUUUUCUGUUGGAAACGGGACAGAUAAAUUAGCAGAAAAUGCACAGUCUCAGAAAAUUAUGAAAAUUGGAGAAUAAGUCAGAAAUAUUUUUAUGAGGCUAGAUUUAAAGUUUCAUAUUUUUAUGACACCCGGAGAGUGAGAAAUAAAAUCCGAGAGUUAUCUGAUAAAGAUUACAGUUCGGCAUAGUUUUCGGUGACCAAAUGGGGUCGAAACUGAAAAAUUAAAAUAUAUUCUUACUCAGUACGUUAAACUGAGCCUGCCUGUCAAAUUUGAGCUCAAACGGACAUUCAGAAGGGCUCCAACUGUU